CCUCCCACAUCGGUCAGUCGGAACUGUGAAGAUGAGUUUAUAAUGCAAAGCAGAACGGAGAGUGACGGAAAAACACUCGCUAAACAUCUUGCGGAAGUGUGUAGUGGGUGUUUUUUUUUUCAUCAUUAUUCAACCAAAUCCGAUAAAAUUAGGAGAGAAGAUUCGCGUGGCACACGCAUGGUCUAAUUUUAUUUUUUUUCCUGUGUGAUCUCGAGAAUUUGUGCUUCUAUGGCUUCUUCCUCUGCCUUCUUCGUUCUUUUCGGUUUGGUUUUUGGUUUUGGGUUUGGUGCAGUUAUUGGGUGCAACAAGUUGAAGGACGCCGUGUAGAUAGAAGGUCUGUGUUGUCGUUUGGAACAGCAAUACCUUGCAUCCGACGUCUUUAUCGGCAGUGGAAAGGUUCAAUUGCAGAAGGUGCUUUCUCAGGGUUACGCCGCCGCCGCGUGGCCGCUUCAGACUAAAACUGGCAGGAGGAUGAAUGGGUUAAAAGACUCUGUAACAUGGUCAAAAUUGCCUGUGGAUGUUUCCGAUUUUAAUGUCGAGCGAGGCUACCCACAGCCAUAAGGUAAUUCGGCUUGCCUCUAAAGGAUCUGAAGGGCUUUAUGUAACAUAUAACAUGCACAUGCUAUAGAAAAUUAGUAGCUUUAGGGAUGGUAGAGUUCCCUGUUGUAUUUCCUGUGACAGAAGAUAAGUUUGAAUUUGAAGUCUCUAAAGAGCUUCAUCUAAUUGGUGUGUAUUUUAUUGUUAUUUUGUAACUUGUUUUGGUAGUAUAUGGUCUAAGCAUACAUUUAUUGGCUUU